GGCGACUUAGCCAAGCGGUCUAAGGCGCCAGACUAAGGCCAAGUGGCUGCUAUCUGGUUCUUCGGAGCGCGAGUUCGAAUCUCGCAGUCGUCA